CCUACGGGAGGCAGCAGUGAGGAAUAUUGGUCAAUGGGCGGAAGCCUGAACCAGCCAAGUAGCGUGCAGGAUGACGGCCCUACGGGUUGUACACUGCUUUUAUACGGGAAUAACGCGCCUUACGUGUAGGGCUUUGCAUGUACCGUAUGAAUAAGGAACGGCUAAUUUCGUGCCAGCAGCCCCGGGAAUACGGAAGGUCGGGGCGUUAUCCGGAUUUAAUGGGUUUAAAGUGAGCGUAGGCCGCAUGUCAAGCGCGCUGUGAAAUGUCCGGGCUCAACCCGGGCCUUGCAGCGCGAACUGGCGUGCUUGAGUCCGCGGAAAGCAGGCGGAAUUCGUCGUGUAGCGGUGAAAUGCUUAGAUAUGACGAAGAACCCCGAUUGCGAAGGCAGCUUGCUGCAGCGGAACUGACGCUGAUGCUCGAAAGCGCGGGUAUCGAACAGGAUUAGAUACCCUAGUAGUC
rnacentral:rRNA from 1 species